UGGCAUCAGAGCAUUCACUAUUUUGUAAUGACCCUAACUAAUAAGCUUCGGUCAGUUUUGGCCCUCGUGCACAAGGUUGGCAGCGUCGGAUCCAAUCGUCAUCUAUUUCCAGUGAUGAGCCCAGUUGAAUUCCCUCAUUCAAAUUGAAUCAAGAUUAGGGAUUUAACGUUUUAGAUCUCCUUCGAAGUUAAUAGCAAAGGGAAGAAUUUGGAUGACAAGAGCAUCAAGGAUCCGGUCUUUAGUUUGGAAAGUUAGCGAUAAGCAUCCAGGUUAUAAUGCAAGUGAUUCAGACUCAGAUGAAUUUGAAGGAUGAUUCUUGAUAACACAAAAUUGGUUUCAUGACCAAAACAAUUGCGAUAUUUUCAGGUUAACUAAUUAUGCCAAGAGGUAAAGGUCGUAAAUGUUUUGCCACUAAUCGAGGAGGCAUAAAUGCAACAUGCAGAAGAGACUCCCCACAACCAUAAUCCACUUCUCAGGCGGUUGUUCCUCAACUAUUAGCCCUUUCACCUCAAGAUGGUAGUUCUAAUCAACCAUUAGCCCAUUCAUCUCAAGAUGGUAGUUCUAAUCAACCAUUAGCCCCUUCAUCUCAUGAGAGUGGAGCUGAACAGCCUGCACCUGCUUCUCAAGAUAUUGGUACUCAAUAACAAACACCUACAUCUCAUGAGAUUAUUCAGUCACAACCAAGAUGAUGCAUUGUUCGUGGCAUAAGACCAUUGACUAUAAAUGGUGAUACGUUUCACCCACAUGAUGCUGUUUGGGAUGUCACAGAAGCAUUUAAAAAGAACUUCCAUGGCUCAUGGCCAUGUUGGUGCAAGGUUCUAGCUCAUAGUCGGGACCAAUGGUUCAAUCCUUUUGAGAGAAAUUAUUCCAUUAAAGAUGAGCAUAAAGAUAUGAUUCGGGAUACAUUUAAGCGUGUGGAGAGUGGAAGGUUGAGUGACACUUUAGGAAAGGCCAAAAAAGCAUUUUAAAAAAUGAAGAAAUACCAAAGUGGAUUAGUCAAAAUCAUUAGGAUGAUUUAAUGAAGCAUUGGAAUACAGACAAUUUUAAGAAAAUAUCAUCCAUCAACUCAAAGAAUAGAAAGUCGAGCAAUAAUGGAGAAGGUCCAUCCUUACAUAUUGGAAGAUCAGUUGCAUUUGAUGAAUAUAGAAGAAGAUAUGGAGAAACGACUAAUCAAGUACUUAGGGAAGAUGAAUUAUACUUGAAGAUUCAUAGGAUAAAAGAUGAUAAGUGGAUUUGUGGGAGGUCAGAAAGAGUGUGGAAUACAUUCACAAGAAAUACUAAGCAAAAGGUAAGUGAAACAUCAACCACAAGAAAUGAAGAUGGUUUCGAAGUACAGGAAAGAGAUGUGGGAUUAAACAGGGCAACAGAGGAAAAUGAGGCACAAGAAUGCAAUGAAGACAAUAAUAUCUUGACUUUGCUACAAAAUAUCCCAAAGGAGCAAGUGUUGAAUACUUGGAUUGACACAAUUGGUGGAGCAAAGAAAGGAAGAGUGUAUGGCCUUGGCUCAAAAACUUCAGUUGUAGGAGAAUAAACCCAUGUUAGUUUUGUCCACUCUAAUGCUCCAACUCCUCCAACUAUCCCUCCCCAACAAGUUAUUGAAACACCUGAGUUUGAGUAAGCAGUUAAUCACGUGGUGGAUCAGCGGGUGGAUGAUCAGGUAGAUCAGCAGGUGGAUAAUUGGGUGAAUUAGCAGAUGGAGCUUAUGCAAGCACGUUUUCGUGAGGAAGUAGAAGUAGUAGUCCAUGCUGUCAUGAGGAGCAUGUUUGGUUUCUUUCCGCAGCCACCAGGAAAUGGCCCUAGUUCUUCCUCACAACCGCCCCCACAUAUUUAGAGUUUAUGCUAUGGUUUUUGAAGUGUAAAACAUGUUUUGGCUUUAUGUUAUCAUUAGCUUUCAUCUUUUGAAUACAAUAUUACUUUUUGCAA